rnacentral:rRNA from 1 species
UACGUAGGAGGCAAGCGUUUGUCCGGAUUUAUUGGGCGUAAAGCGCUCGCAGGCGGCUCGAUGCGUCGUGCGUGAAACACCCCGGCUCAACUGGGGGAGGGUCGUGCGAUACGGUCGGGCUGGAGGCCAGUAGGGGGAUGCGGAAUUCCGGGUGUAGUGGUGGAAUGCGUAGAGAUCCGGAGGAACACCAGCGGCGAAGGCGGCAUCCUGGACUGGUCCUGACGCUCAGGAGCGAAAGCGUGGGGAGCGAGUCCGG